ACUUGGCGGGGGUGGGGUGGGGGUGGGUGGGCAGAAGCAGGAGAGAGCAGGAGAAAGGGCAGAAGGAGACUGCCUCUGAGACCUUCCAUUGUUCUCCAGGUCAAAGUAUUCAGCAUGCCACUGCACCAUAUUUUGGGGCGUCAUGGUCAUUUGUUAAGCAUCAACAAAAUAGUGCUGUAUAGCUGAGAGGAUGUGCAGAGAGAACAAUACAUUCAACGAGACCGAAAAUGGAAAAAAAAUUCACUUUUAUUACCUUAAAGAUGCCAAACAGUGCCAUUUUAUGACUGUGGGAAGCUGGAAGUCAUUUCUGAACUCUUUUGGCAAGAGUGCUAUGUAGAGCAUCCAACUCAGCCCUUUAAGUGUCUUCUGAGAACCGCCACACAGCCAGUGAUUUACCGUCUUCAGGAGUUAAAAGGACGCUUUCUGUUCUGAAACGGAAGAAAGGUGAUGCGUGUUUAGGACGCUUCCCAAUGACACUCCGGAGGACCUGAGACAGCCCGAGGAUGUCUGAGAACUGUCACGGAUAGAGAUUUAUUACAUUCAGAAGCCAGAAGACUCAUCUUUCCAAGAAUAUUAAAAUGGUUUGCACAAGACAGAAAGGACACUAGGAAUUCCUUUAGAUGCUUGAGUCCAAGUUCCAUUUUGCUACCUUUCCACUGGAAGACCUUCAGCCAGUUGCUCAAUGCCUCUGGAUUCUGAUGAGCGGUGUGCACUGCUGUGGAAUUCCUCAAGCGAGCUAGACCUAAAGCUUAGGAUGAUGAUCACAGCAAUUACAAACACAAUAGAGGGACAAAUCAUCCAUUAUCAAGUUCAACUCAUCAAGGAUAUCUUCCCAGAUUCUCUGGGUAGAUCAGACCUGUUGACUAGAUCCUCUCUCAACAAGCAAACCUUUCCUUCCUACACUUGACAUAGGACUAUUACAUGUUGAAGCAAACCACUGUUUGAAAAAAUAAAUGUCUACUACAUUGCCAGCUUUAUGAAUGUAAGAAUGUUUUGCUGAUACAUUUAUAUAUUUCUGGCACCUAAAGUGGUGCCCAGCUGCUCACUUAAUGUUUGUAAGUGAAUUAGUGAAAAUCUCUGCCCUAAAGGGCUGUUGAG
rnacentral:lncRNA from 1 species